AAAAUCUUAUAUAAGAGAAGCUGGUCAGAGGGCUUGGUCCUCCUAUUAAAAUGAGAUAGUAAUGCUAUGAAAGUGUUAAGUAGUUUUUUUCUUGUUCAAUUUCUGUUGUGCUGAGUAUGCAGAAAAGAGAAUGUGUUCUUCUAAGGAUUCUGGGAAGUGUUUUUAAGUGUUUUUCUAACAUAUCUAGAGAAGUCUGAAAACAUUUUAUUUACCAAGGACUAAGACUGCUUCUGAGCCUACAAGUGACAGUCACUCAUUCUGAACACGAGCCAUGAGCUCUUGGUCAUGCUUCCAGAUCCAAGGGGCACUCCAGCAGUUACCAGUCCAGCAUACCAAACUGCCCUGAAGUAGGUCCUUUGUCCCUUCCCACUCAGCUUCAGUUGCUUGCAUCUUUUGGAAGAUGCUGCCUGGGGCCCAGCAGAGCUGGAGGUGAUGGAAGCUUAAAGCAGAGGGCCAUAGGGUUUGUGCCAUCUUUCACCAGGUUCUAUAUGACAGACAUUUCAGUUCUUUCACCCUGUACUGAAUUAAGGUGCGGCUAAGGACUUUGGUCAUGAGAUGUGGCAUUGUUCCAACCUGAAAGACGGGGGGAAGGAAGGAGGGAGAAAGGUUACUCCCAGCUGUCCACUGCUGCACUCUUUGCUCCUUUGUUUCUGGUGAUCACUGCUGCAGUAAAAAUUGUUAGUAGCUGCAUGAGGAAAGCUAGCCGAGCUGGGGCAUCUCUGCUCUUUAACUAAGAAUUUCAUCCAGCGUCAGUAAUUUUCCCUUUGAGCCCUCUUGCUAAAUGUCCUUGGUGGCGGAUGAAUCCUGAGCAUUUAAGGAUGGGAACCGAGCUGUUGAAAGGAACAAGUUUUCUGAUACCCAACCUCUUGGACAUACCAAACCAAACUUGCAAAAAUGUACUGAUGAAGAACUAAAUAGUAUUGGCUGGAGAUAAAGAAAUCCCAGACUUUCCUUAUCACUAUUUUUGUAAGCAAUACUGAUGGAAAUACAGGAAGAACUGUGAUGAUCACAGAAUUGAAGUGCUGACAAUAGGUUUGUCUGUGCUAAGUGUGCUGAAUCCUGCUGGUUUGUGAAGAUCUUCAGGCCAAGUGGAGCAGUGUGACACACUCUGAAGGACGCUGGCUGAUCUGCCCUGUUGUGGAUCUUGUUGCUGAAGCUCACCUGCUUCGUUCUCUGACUUCAUCUUUUAAUCUAAAGAGGUCUUACACCUGCUGAGAAUGGUGGAUUUUUACCAUUCAUGGACAGGAUUCAGGCUGAUGGAUGGAGCACAGGCACAAUCGUGCACGCAGUAAGAACUUUGCCUUGGGAAGUCACAGAGAAAUAAUAAAGUGCAUAUCCUUCAAUG
rnacentral:lncRNA from 7 species